AGUGAACGCUGGCGGUGGGCCUAACACAUGCAAGUCGAACGACAGCACAGUAAGAUCUCGCUCUUACGGGUGGCGAGUGGCGGAUGGGUGAGGAGUACAUCGGAAUCUACUUUUUCGUGGGGGAUAUCGUGAGGAAGGUUACGCUAAUGCAGCAUACGACGUACCGGUUAAUUCAGGAGUUCUUCGUACCUUGGCCGAUUGUAUUAGCCGAUGUCGGAUUAGCUAGUUGGCGGGGUAAAGUCCCACCAAGGCGACGAUCCGUAGCUGAUCUGAGAGGAUGAUCAGCCACACUGGAACUGAGACACGGUCCAGACUCCUACGGGAGGCAGCAGUGGGGAAUAUUGGACAAUGGGCGCAAGCCUGAUCCAGCCACACCGCGUGAGUGAAGAAGGCCUUCGGAUCGUAAAGCCCUUUUGUUGGGGAAGAAAAGCAGCAGGAUAAAACCCGGAUGUUCUGACGGUACCCAAAGAAUAAGCAACGGCUAACUUCGUG
rnacentral:rRNA from 1 species